CUGCACUGUCUUUGAACCUAGUUGGUCUCAUCUGUGACCUCUUAGGCCAAGCUACAGUGCUAAAGGAAACUCAAGCUUGUUUAUAACUGGGGCCUCCUGGCACCACCCCCAGGUUGCUCUUUUAAAAGCAAGUUACAUCU
ensembl:snoRNA